rnacentral:rRNA from 1 species
AUGAACGCUGGCGGCGUGCCUCAUCCAUGCAAGUCGCGCGCACAGACGAGGAGCUUGCUCCUCUGACGUUAGCGGCGGACGGGUGAGUAACACGUGGAUAACCUACCUAUAAGACUGGGAUAACUUCGGGAAACCGGAGCUAAUACCGGAUAAUAUAUUGAACCGCAUGGUUCAAUAGUGAAAGACGGUUUUGCUGUCACUUAUAGAUGGAUCCGCGCCGCAUUAGCUAGUUGGUAAGGUAACGGCUUACCAAGGCAACGAUGCGUAGCCGACCUGAGAGGGUGAUCGGCCACACUGGAACUGAGACACGGUCCAGACUCCUACGGGAGGCAGCAGUAGGGAAUCUUCCGCAAUGGGCGAAAGCUUGACGGAGCAACGCCGCGUGAGUGAUGAAGGUCUUCGGAUCGUAAAACUCUGUUAUUAGGGAAGAACAAAUGUGUAAGUAACUAUGCACGUCUUGACGGUACCUAAUCAGAAAGCCACGGCUAACUACGUG